rnacentral:rRNA from 1 species
UAGGGAAUCUUCGGCAAUGGACGAAAGUCUGACCGAGCAACGCCGCGUGAGUGAAGAAGGUUUUCGGAUCGUAAAACUCUGUUGUUAGAGAAGAACAAGGACGUUAGUAACUGAACGUCCCCUGACGGUAUCUAACCAGAAAGCCACGGCUAACUACGUGCCAGCAGCCGCGGUAAUACGUAGGUGGCAAGCGUUGUCCGGAUUUAUUGGGCGUAAAGCGAGCGCAGGCGGUUUCUUAAGUCUGAUGUGAAAGCCCCCGGCUCAACCGGGGAGGGUUAUUGGAAACUGGGAGACUUGAGUGCAGAAGAGGAGAGUGGAAUUCCAUGUGUAGCGGUGAAAUGCGUAGAUAUAUGGAGGAACACCAGUGGCGAAGGCGGCUCUAUGGUCUGUAACUGACGCUGAGGCUAGAAAGCGUGGGGAGCAAACAGG